rnacentral:lncRNA from 1 species
GGCAUAAAGACUCUGGAAAUCAAGAUUGGAAAAAAAGAAAGUGUUGUAAUCCUAUGAUCUUGUGCAUUUGUCAAGACUCCAGUGGUUGCCCAUCUAAGAACCUUUCCUUUCUUCUUGCUAAAUUUAUUCCAGAAAUAACAAACUCGGGGGAGAUGAGCUCCAGGAAUGAACCAGGAUUGAUUCAAGGCAAACUUAAUAAUUCCUCUUCCUUUUGCUAGAGAGUUGUUUAGGAGUGGGCCUGCUACUGAGUUCUGCCCGGGAAGACACAAGGACAAGUGAUUUUGGGGACAAUUUUGCUCCAAAUCUUUUAAAAAGAAGAUACAAGAAGUUGGUUUGUCACUUCUUCCUGAAAUGAAAAUGUGGGAAGAAACCAAGAUCAAUAAUUCUGAACUGUAUCAAAAUGCCGCAAGAAAGUAAAUGAUUCCACAACUUCAACCACAACGCUUGAAGCAUCUGGCUUCUGCUGAGAACCGCAGGAAGGACUCGGGAAAGAUAAUCGCUAGUAUUUUUUUCCCCUGUUCUUUGGAAAGCAUUAUUCACAAUAGCCAAGAUGUGGAAGCAACCAAAGUGCUCAUCAAUGGAUGAAUGUACAAAGAAGAUGUGGUUUAUAUACAUAAUGGAAUACUACUCAGCCAUAAAAAUGACAAAAUCAUCCCAUUUGCAACAACAUGGAUGGACCUGGAGGUCUCAACAUCCAUCCUCCACAGAGGUACACCCUGAACCAGUACUGAUUGACCCUGAUGACAUGUGACUUGGACUCAUUCUUCUAGCACCUUCUUUUAGGGACAAGGUCCUAGUGAUGGACCUGCAUGAAUCCUGUAUCAUCACCAUCACUACAUUUUCUCUCCCUAAAAGCCCUCCAUGGGACAAGACAUGUCUCAAAGCAUCUCUCUGCUUCUUCUGUCCCUCAAGGAAACAACGUGGACAUUUUCUGUAACAAAACUGUGUUGGGUUGAAUAGGGUCCCACAAAAAUUUAUGACUACCUGGAACCUCAGAAUAUGACCUUAUUUGAAAAUAGGGUCUUUGCAGAAAUAAUUAGUUAAGAAGAGGUCAUACUGGAUCAGGGUUGGCCCUAGAUUCAAUUACUGGUGUCUUUAGAAGAACGGGAGAAGACACAGAGACAGAGAGAAGAAGAUCAUGUGAAGAUGGAGGCAGAGAUUGGAGUGAUGCUGCCGCAAGCCAAGGAAUGCCUUGAGACACCAGAAGCUGCAAGAGGCAAGGAUGGAUCCUUCCCUAGAGCCUUCACAGGAAAUGUGGCCAUCUUCAGAUCUUGGUUUUGGACUUUUAGCCUCCAGAACUAUGAGAGAAUAAAUUACUGUUGUUGAAGCCACUUCAAUGAAUUACUG